rnacentral:rRNA from 1 species
UUACACAUGCAAGUCGAGUGCGCGUCUGUAGCAAUACAGAUGGCGCACGGCGCACGGGUGCGUAACACGUGGGUAAUCUGCCCUUCGAAGGGGAAUAACUCGCCGAAAGGCGAGCUAAUUCCGCAUAACAUUCCGAGAACCUUGGUUUUUGGAUUCAAAGGCGUAAGUCGUCGGAGGAGGAGCCCGCGCACGAUUAGCUAGUUGGUAGGGUAACGGCCUACCAAGGCUAUGAUCGUUAGCUGGUCUGAGAGGAUGGCCAGCCACACUGGAACUGAGACACGGUCCAGACUCCUACGGGAGGCAGCAGUGGGGAAUCUUGCACAAUGGGCGAAAGCCUGAUGCAGCGACGCCGCGUGGGGGAUGAAGCUUCUCGGAGUGUAAACCCCUUUCGAACCGGACGAAUGCCCCGCAAG